AACGCCGAAGAAGCGUGUCCUCCACCGGUACCACGUCUGUUCAUUCAGAGCAAAGAGCCACUGCUCCGUCUUCUUCCCGU
ensembl:ncRNA F26D11.18 ncRNA